GAGCACCAAGAGAAUCAAGAUAAAACCUUCCCCACCGAAUCUCUUGGUUCUGGCAUCGAUGAAGAACGCAGCGAAAUGCGAUAAGUAAUGUGAAUUGCAGAAUUCACUGAAUCAUCGAAUCUUUGAACGCACAUUGCGCCCCCUGGCAUUCCGGGGGGCAUGCCUGUUCGAGCGUCAUUACACCACUCAAGCCUAGCUUGGUAUUGGAGGCCGCGAGCGAUCGCGCCUGUCAAAGUCACCGGCUGAGCCGUCCGUCUCCAAGCGUUGUGGCAACUAUCCGCGAGCGAGACCCGGGCGACCCGGCCGUUAAACCCCCCAUCAAAGGUUGACCUCGGAUCAGGUAGGGAUACCCGCUGAACUUAAGCAUAUCAAUAAGCGGAGGA
rnacentral:rRNA from 1 species